rnacentral:rRNA from 1 species
UACGAAGGGGGCUAGCGUUGUUCGGAUUUACUGGGGGUAAAGCGCCCGUGGGCGGUUCGUUAGGUCGGGGGUGAAAUCCCAGAGCUCAACUCUGGAACUGCCUUUGAUACUGUCGAUCUGGAGUAUGGAAGAGGUGAGUGGAAUUCCGAGUGUAGAGGUGAAAUUCGUAGAUAUUCGGAGGAACACCAGUGGCGAAGGCGGCUCACUGGUCCAUUACUGACGCUGAGGUGCGAAAGCGUGGGGAGCAAACAGG